UGCGCAGGCGGGCUUGUAAGUCAGUGGUGAAAUACUGCCGCUUAACGGUAGAACUGCCAUUGAUACUGCAAGUCUUGAAUAUGGUUGAGGUAGGCGGAAUGUGUUGUGUAGCGGUGAAAUGCAUAGAUAUGACACAGAACGCCAAUUGCGAAGGCAGCUUACUAAGCCAUUAUUGACGCUGAGGCACGAAAGCGUCGGGAGCGAACAGGAUUAGAUACCCUGGUAGUCC
rnacentral:rRNA from 1 species